AUUGAACGCUGGCGGCGUGCCUAACACAUGCAAGUCGAGCGGCAGCGCGGGAGCAAUCCUGGCGGCGAGCGGCGGACGGGUGAGUAACGCUUGGGAAUCUGCCUGUUAGUGGGGGACAACCCGGGAAACGUCGGGCGUAAUACCGCAUACGCACUACGGUGGAAAGCCGGGGACCGGCAAGGCCUGGCGCUAACAGAUGAGCCCAAGUCGGAUUAGCUAGUUGGUAGGGUAACGGCCACCAAGGCGACGAUCCGUAACCUGGUCUGAGAGGACGACCAGUCACACC
rnacentral:rRNA from 1 species